UUUUAUCUGUGCGAUUCAGAUUAUACUGAUAAUUAUAUUCUUACUUGUUUUAAUUUAAAUUAUAUG
rnacentral:tRNA from 1 species